rnacentral:rRNA from 1 species
UACGUAGGGAGCAAGCGUUAUCCGGAUUUAUUGGGUGUAAAGGGUGCGUAGAUGGAUAAACAAGUUGUUUGUGAAAUACCUCGGCUCAACUGAGGAACUGCAAGCAAAACUGUAUAUCUUGAGUACUGGAGGGGAAAGCGGAAUUCCUAGUGUAGCGGUGAAAUGCGUAGAUAUUAGGAAGAACUCCGAUUGCGAAGGCAGCUCACUAGACUGCAACUGACACUGAUGCUCGAAAGUGUGGGUAUCAAACAGG